rnacentral:rRNA from 1 species
GCGAGUCUUUGCAGUAAUGCAAGGCAUACGGCUCAGUAACACGUAGUCAACUUACCCUAUGGACGAGGAUAAUCUCGGGAAACUGAGCAUAAUACUCGAUAGAUCAUAAUGCCUGGAAUGGUUUAUGGUUGAAAUGAUUCGUCGCCAUAGGAUGGGACUGCGGCCUAUCAGCUUGUUGGUGAGGUAAUGGCCCACCAAGGCGAUUACAGGUACGGGCUCUGAGAGGAGAAGCCCGGAGAUGGGUACUGAGACAAGGACCCAGGCCCUAUGGGGCGCAGCAGGCGAGAAAACUUUGCAAUGUGCGAAAGCACGACAAGGUUAAUCCGAGUGAUUUCUGCUAAAGAAAUCUUUUGCCAGUCAUAAAACCACUAGUGAAUAAGGGGUGGGCAAGUUCUGGUGUCAGCCGCCGCGGUAAAACCAGCACCUCAAGUGGUCAGGAGGAUUAUUGGGCCUAAAGCAUCCGUAGCCGGCUUUGUAAGUUUUCGGUUAAAUCCAUGCGCUCAACGCAUGGGCUGCCGAAAAUACUGCAUAGCUAGGGAGUGGGAGAGGUAGACGGUACUCGGUAGGAAGGGGUAAAAUCCUUUGAUCUAUCGAUGACCACCUGUGGCGAAGGCGGUCUACCAGAACACGUUCGACGGUGAGGGAUGAAAGCUGGGGGAGCAAACCGGAUUAGAUACCCGGGUAGUCCCAGCUGUAAACGAUGCAGACUCGAUGAUGCAUUGGCAUAUAGCCAGUGCAGUGUCGCAGGGAAGCCGUUAAGUCUGCCGCCGGGAAGUACGUACGCAAGUAUGAAACUUAAAGGAAUUGGCGGGGGAGCACCACAAGGGGUGAAGCCUGCGGUUCAUUGGAGUCAACGCCAGAAA